CGGGACGGGUGAGUAACACGUGGAUAACCUACCUAUAAGACUGGGAUAACUUCGGGAAACCGGAGCUAAUACCGGAUAAUAUAUUGAACCGCAUGGUUCAAUGGUGAAAGACGGUUUUGCUGUCACUUAUAGAUGGAUCCGCGCCGCAUUAGCUAGUUGGUAAGGUAGCGGCUUACCAAGGCAACGAUGCGUAGCCGACCUGAGAGGGUGAUCGGCCACACUGGAACUGAGACACGGUCCAGACUCCUACGGGAGGCAGCAGUC
rnacentral:rRNA from 1 species